ACUACGGGCGGCAGCAGUCGGGAAUAUUGCGCAAUGGAGGAAACUCUGACGCAGUGACGCCGCGUAUAGGAAGAAGUUUUUCGGAAUGUAAACUAUUGUCGUUAGGGAAGAGAAAGGACAGUACCUAAGGAGGAAGCUGCGGCUAACUACGGGCCAGCAGCCGCGGUAAUACGUAGGGAGGGAGCGUUAUCCGGAAUUAUUGGGUUUUAAGGGUGCGUAAACGGGAAAACAAGUUAUGUGUGAAAUCCCUCGGCCUAACUGAGGAACUGCAACUAAAACUAUUUUUCUUGAGUGCAGAAGAGGUAAGUGGAAUUCGUAGUGUAGCGGUGAAAUGCGUAGAUAUUAGGAGGAACACCAGUGGCGAAGGCGACUUACUGGACUGUAACUGACGUUGAGGCACGAAAGUGUGGGGAGCAAACAGGAUUAGAUACCCCGGUAGUC
rnacentral:rRNA from 1 species